UUGUUUUAUCCCUAAAACUCAAAAAGUUCUCAUUAUGGAAAGUGGUGAACAUAGCAGUGAUGAAGAACUAAACCUGAAAAAUAGUGUAAUGGAGCGUAGGAGCAAAAAAAGUAAAUCUUACGGCAGAUUAAGAAAAUGAGACUCCAAAGUCAUGAAAUGGGCCCUGAUUGCAACUGUUUAAAAAAGUGUUUUGAUGUUGUACCCAGUGAUACAAGAUGUAACAUAUUAAAGCAUUUUAACAUGCUUAGUUCGACUAAUGCUCAAAAUUCAUACCUUAGUGGCUUAAUAUCAGUACUUCCGGUUCAACGUAAGACAUCGAGAGAAGGUGCUAAGCACUACAGUGCAUCCUACAAGUACAGGGUGCACGGAGGAAUUUGACGUGUGCCGUAAAGCAUUUAUUGAUGAAAAAAAUUGGAAAUUUUGGUAGCAAGCUUGAAGGAAACAGGAUAUGCUCCUGAAGAUAAACGAGGUAGGCACCCAAACCGUUCUAAUAAGCUUCCAGUAGAAACUAUAAGCCUAGUCAGGCAGCAUAUCAAUUCAUUUAAAGGUCGUGGAAGUCAUUAUGGCCUGAAGGACUCUUCAAAAAUAUACCUUUCUGAAGAGCUAAACAUAAAGAAAAUGCAUAAAAUGUUUAAGAAACUAUAAAAUAUCGUACGAGUCAGACAGGCAGGUGUUUUGCCGUGAUUUCAAUAUCUCCUUUGGUUAUCCACGAAAGGAUACUUGUAGCAGCUGCGUGAUGAGUUCACAAUAAAAAUUAAAAACUUAGAAUCUGAAAAACUGGUGAAAAACUCAUCUGAGGAGAUCUUACGGAUAUCUAGGGAGAUGGAGAGAUUAACUACAGAAAACGCGUUACAUAAGAAAAAAGCGGAAACUUUUUUUAGUAGGAAGAGGCUGGCUAAGAUAAACAGUAAAAAAAAUCUAAUUUAGAGGCAAUUUGUAUGGAUUUUGCCAAGAAUCUUAUAUUAUCAACAAAUGAUACCUAUUACAAAAGGCAGCUAUCAACAUACGCAUUGUCUACCUCUGAGAGCUAUUUUUACGUCUAUCCAGAAACCCAAGGGAAAAAGGGUUCAGAUGAUGUGUGCUCACUGCUUCAUAACUUCAUAUUAUAUAACCAUCUAGAUCGAGAAGUAAAGCACCUACAAAUAUUUUGUGAUUCAUGCAGUGGCCAACAAAAAAAAUUUUACCUUUUUUCGUUUUCUUCAUAACUUAGUCAACAACGAGAAAAGGUUAGAAUCAGCUUCUAUCACGUUCCCCAUUCGAGGACAUUCCUAUGUGAUAAGAAUUUUGGCCUCGUAAACCAAAAAAGCAGAGCAGAUCUUCCCAAAGACUGGUUGAAAAUAUUAUUGGAAGAAUCCCGCCAUUCCCUAACUCCAUUUACGGUUAUCGAGGUCAAUAACACCUUUUUCCGCAGCUGGGGAAAAUUUCUUGACAAUAGUUACGCAACAAAGUCGCCAUUCCCAUCUAGACCAAUCAGAGAAAUUAAGAUAAAUAGAGGACCUUUGAUACAGUGUCGCACUACAUACGAGGGUUGUCUUUUAAGUUUUGCAUAUGCAGCUGGAAUAAAACAAAAAAUAACUUUUAACGACUUUAUUGUUUUUCAAAGUAUUCUCCACGAAAUUUAAGGCACUUUUGCAUGCGCUUAAACCAGUUGUCAAAGCUGUUAUUCCACUCGUUUGUGGGUACUGUCAAAAUUGCAUUUUUAAAGGCGUUAACUGCUUCCUCUGGCGUCUGAAACCUCUGACCACGCAGUUCAUUCUUGAUUUUUGGAAAAGUAUAGAAAUUGUUGGGACUUAGGUCGGGACUGUACGAAGGAUGAUCCAAUAAUUCGACGUUUUGAUAAGUUAAAAAUUCAAUAGUUUUCCGGGCUGUGUGCGAACUUGCAUUGUCUUGGUGGAGGAUGAUUCGUCGUUGUGGGUUCGCUUUUCGAAGCUCAGCGAUGACUUUCGGCAAACAAAUGGUAAUGUACCAAUCGGCAGUAACAGUUCGUUGAUUCUCCAGAGGAAUUGUUGCAACAUGACCUGCUUUUGAGACAAAUGUUGCAACCAUCUUUUUGGAUACACUUCGAGAACGAAUGACUUUUGUUGGCUUUUCUUCAUCUUGAAAUACCCAUACAGACGACUGACGUUUAUUUUCAGGUUCAAAUGAGUAAAUCCAUGAUUCACCACUGACAAUGCUGUACACAUUUUUAGAGUUUCCUGUCUCAAAGCGGUCUAGAGUUGUUUGACACCACAUCACCCUAGCUUCUUUCUGUUCUUCAGUUAACAGAUGCGGUAUCCAGCGGAAAAUUAAUUUUCUUAACCGUAAUUCUUCAUGCAAAAUUUUUUGAAUUGAGGUCUUUGAAAUCGCCAAUGAAGCCUCAAUCUCGCGAUAUGUCACAUGUCGAUCUUCCGUGAUAAGCAUACGCACAGCAUCGAUGUUUUCUUGGGUGACAGCCGUUUUUGGUGCACCUGACCUUGGAUCGUCGCUAAGACUGAUGUGGUGCUUCAUUACCGAAAACAGAAAUCAACUCAGCACAGCAUUCUUGUUGAGAUAAUUGCCUUCGAAAAUUGUAAAAAAUGAUGGCCCGAAAAAGUUCUCUGUUUAAUUCCAUGGUAUGCGCAAUUUGCUACCUUUAAAAAUUCACUAGCUGUAAAACUAUAUGUAUCGCACUGACGUUUUGAAUUUAAGAAAAGUAAAGUUUGAGGUUAAGUUUGACUAAUGACAUUUGAUUAGUGACGCCCUCUAUGUUUCUAUAUGCAAAACUUAAAAGACAUCCCUCGUAUAAUGGAUGUUGAGUCAGCUUCGCUGCAAGGAAAAAACCGAAAGUCUUCGCGAUUAGCUGUUCGUCAAGACAACGAAUUUAUGCUACCUGAGUUAAGUUAUAAAGGGCAGCUUCCAAUAUCUGCUGAGAAGUUUCUUUUUUUCAAACCUACCGCAUCACUAAUUAACGAAUUGGAAUAUUGUUUGGAGCCUUUCACACUAACGACGAUCGAGGUUAUGAUUACUGUGAAAGAACAGGCUCGUUUCAAUAAAAUGGACCCCUUUUUUCCUUGUUUUCACUUUUGUACCUGUAUGCGAUUUUA